rnacentral:lncRNA from 1 species
GUCUACGCCAAGUAUGUGAAAACUUCUCCUGGUGGAGUGAGCAGAUGAGAACAAUUUAUUCCAACGGCCAUGAAAGUGGCUGAAGCAGGUACUGUGGAGUGCUUAGAGCUUGGUCAGGCACUGAAGAUGCCAAGGUCAUCCACUGCACCCUGGGCCAGUGCCAGUCAUGCUGACUUUUGUCUUGCCAUUGGACUUCUAUGAUUCUGGAAGUUGGACUUCUAUGAUUCUAGAAGAGAGAGUGAGGCUGAUGACUUAAUGUAGCUUUGCCUCACUAAAAUCCAAUUCAACUACAAGUCAAGAAAUCACCCAUGAUGUUAUUGGUUCUCUUCAAAAAUGGAGACAAACAACGAUUGCUGCUGCUGCUACCACCACCACCACUGCCCCAUUAUUUCUCCUUCUUCUUCUUCCACUGCUAUUCCUACUCCUACUCCUACUAUUUACUCCUCCUUCUCCUCCAGUGGAGUCACUGCCUUGGAAGAUACUUUCUGCCUGCUUCUGGAGAAUACCCAGGCAUUCUGGGGAACUGGCUUCAUCUUCAGACCUAACUGGGUGCUGAAGAACUAAUGACCCUGGGGACAAAUGUGGCAGCUUCCUCUUCAUGACCUUUUGGACGCAGCCCUCCAGGUGACAAAUAUGAUUUAUGUGAUAGGUGGGGGAGGACCCUUCUGUCCUCCAGCAUAAUGGCAGGAGGGCUUGCUGAUGCCAGCAUAGAACACUCGAGUAGAAGGAACUCAAUGAGAUAAGUUUCUACUAGACCCCUUGGCUGCCUUUGCCUUCUUCCAUUAGCAUCAACCUUGUGAGCAUCAAAAGGUCUGCAGUAUCUUCCCCUUUCCCAUCACCAAUCAGCAGGGAAGACAGAGGGCCUAAGCAGCAGCAGGAGCUGGCAGAUGCCAAAGGAAGAACUGGCAUCAGAGAGAGGCCAAUGGAAAGAUCAAACUCAGCUGUUUGAUAUGACAGUCAUUAGGCUGUGAGCUCCUUGAGGGCAGGCACCAUAGUCUGCUUUUUUUGUAUCCCCAGUACUUAGCACCCAAGUCUGGCUCACAGUUGAUUCUUAAUGGGGGGGGGCAGGGAAUAAGCAUUUAUAUAGCACCUGCUAUGUGUCAGGCCACCAUGCUAAGGGCAUUACAAAUAUUAUUUUAUUUGAUCAUUACUUAAUAAACUUUUAUUGACUGACA